rnacentral:rRNA from 1 species
CCCUUAGACGUUCUGGGCCGCACGCGCGCUACACUGAUGCAUUCAACGAGCCUAGCCUUGACCGAGAGGUCCGGGUAAUCUUUGAAACUGCAUCGUGAUGGGGCUAGAUUAUUGCAAUUAUUAAUCUUCAACGAGGAAUGCCUAGUAAGCGUGAUUCAUCAAAUCGCGUUGAUUACGUCCCUGCCCUUUGUACACACCGCCCGUCGCUCCUACCGAUUGAGUGUGUUGGUGAGGAGUUCGGAUUGGCUCUUAGUGGUGGUUCGCCACCACCUAGAGCUGAGAAGUUCUCCAAACCGCCCCACUUAGAGGAAGGAGAAGUCGUAACA